GGGUCGGUGCCCGAGUGGCCAAAGGGAACGGUCUGUAAAACCGUCGCGAAAGCUUCGCUGGUUCGAAUCCAGCCCGGCCCA
rnacentral:tRNA from 1 species